GGUGGGCACCGUGGGGGAAGGGGAGGGAUGGGGAUGAAGGGUGUGGGGAGCUGGAGACAUUUCGGGGAUGAGGCCGGGCAGGUCCAGAGCUCUGCCCCUCAACAAGCCCAUCAGCAGCAAAGGCCUCCCUCUGCACACCCCACAGUUCUGCCAGGGACGGGAGAGGAUAAUGAGCCACUUCCCUUCUAAGCACUGCUGUGACAGGCAAGGGCACCAGGGAGGCUAGUAUGGGCUGCUCAGGCACAAGUCUGUGAUAGUGCUGCAGCGGGGCAGGGAAGGCCGGCUGGCCUUAACCAGAGCUGUCCCAUCCCUCUCUGGUCCUGGGUACGGUGCCCUGGGCUGGCCCAGUCUCCUUUCAUGCCCAGAGGCACAGAAUGCCCUCCUAAGCCUUCUGACCAAAAGAAGUUCCUCUUCUUGUCCCACUGGAGACUCCUUAUAGAAAUUCCAGAGCACUUUCAUUCUCUGGAGAGCAGGAGAAGGGGAGAGAGCCGUGGGCUGGCCUGAUGCUAUGACUGGAAGAGAGGAAGACACUCAGCACCCCCCCCCCAUCCCACCCUGCACGGAAAGGGUGAGAGCUACAUGCCCCUUAGUCUCUGCAUAGCCCUACUCCCUACCACCACCUCAGGGAAGCCCACCUAGCCCCACCAAGCAGGGCCGCAUCAACCCAGCUGCCACUGGUCUAGCUACACCUUCCAGUAGCCUGGAAUCUAGAGAAAGGAAAGAAUCUUCCUCCCCCCUUUUCCUCUCUCCCUCCCUUCCUUCCAUCCUUUGUUCCCUCCUUCCACUUUUUAUUUAGAAAUAAUUUCAAACUUACAGAAAAGUUGUCAAAAUAAGAAUAGUCUAAGACGCAUAUACCCUUUUUGGCCAUAUGCAACUAUUGUUAAUAUUUUGCUUCACUUUCUUUCUGUAUGUAUUUGCCCUCUCUCUCUCUCUCUCUCUCUCUCUCUCUCUCUCUCUCUCUCUCUGUGUGUGUGUGUGUGUGUGUAUGUGUGUGUGUAUAAGAAAGAGAGAAAGAGAUCAUAAUUUUUUUCUUGACCAUUUGAGAGUAAAGUUACAGGCAUGAUGGCUGAAAGGAUGGUUUCCUAUCUAUUUCUGGCUCCUGGAGCCAGUCUGAGGAAGCCCAGGCCACAUUGUGUGGAGUGAAUGAAGGUCUGGAACAGGCAAGGAAUGAGCGGACAUCACCUACUAGGAGCUCGAGGCCUGGAGAACUGGAGGCCCUUGGCCAAGGCCACCUGAGAGUCUGGCUGGUCCAGGGCUAGGCACCACUCAUUUUCUGCUCCUUCGGCCUGAGAAGCAGGGAGCCAUUGCCCACCAGAGCAAGCCUGUGGUGUCUGCUGGGUGUGGAGCUGCAGCAUAUGUCUGUGGAGCUGGCAGGAGGCAGGUGGGGUAAAGCUGGGAGAGCAGGGAUGCCCACGCUGUGGCAGCUGGGCACACUCAGGAGAUGGGCUUGAGAAGCCCAUCCUGGCUCUCAGGGAGUGGAGAAGCCACUCCCUGGCUUGAGAAGCCUCAGCUGCUGGAGGCCCUAGCCCCAGGCCCAGUGCCACGGCUUUGAAUUCUUGCCUUUGGACCCUCUCCACAGCCCCAUGAGGCACAGGGCAGGGAUAGGGGCCCCCACUUGAUAGCUGAUCAAUGCUAAUUGGCUUAGAUAGGGCAGAAUGGGGGCCUUGGUCAUGCAAUGGUCUCUGACACAGGGCUGGCAUUCCUUCUGUCCCCCAGUGCCCUCACAUGGGUUGGAGUUCCAUGUGGAGCUGUCCUUCAGAUGACUUCUCUCUUAUCCCUCCUAACCCCCAUCUGAAGGUUAUGGUUAAGUGUGGCAUUUAAAAAUCACAUGGUGAGGGGCGCCUGGGUGGCUCAGUCAGUUAAGCAUCUGACAGUUGAUUUCGGCUCAGGUCAUGAUCUUAAGGUUUGGUUCAUGAGUUCGAGCCCUGCGUCGGGUUCUAUACUCAUGGAGCCCGCUUGGGAUUGGCUCUCUCCCUCCUUCUCUGCCCCUCCUCCACUUGUCCUCUUGUUCUUUCUCUCUUUCUCUCUCUCUCAAAAUAAAUAAGUAAACUUAAAAAAAAAAUCACAUGGUGAGGGACACCUGGCUGGCUCAGUUGGUGGAGCAUGUGACUCUUGAUCUCGGGGUCAUGAGUUCAAGCCUCAUGUUGGGUGUAGAGCUUACUUUAAAAAAAAAAAAAAAACAACAACUAAAACCUCUUGUAUCAAGUACAAUAAAAUGAAAUGAAAUGAAUGUCAUAAUAAUAAACUUAUAAAUUUGGGGGGGGGGGGAAAUCACAUGGUGAAAGAUGAUCUGAGCUCUGAAGCCCUGAUUUCCUCUCCCUUACAGGUGAAUUCCUCUUCCUCCAUGAAGCCCUCCAGACUUCCUUAGAUCUUCCCACAUCACACGACUUCUGGGGAAUGCCAGCCCUGUUUGUUCCUUUACUGGUUCACACUGGUGCUGUAUCAGGGCCUAGGGCUUUGCUCUGUCAUCAGCCUCUCUCCUUCCUGCUGCCCCAGGCCAGGCAUAUAACUGAUGCCCCAUAGAUGGAUGGCAGUGGCAUGGUUAGUCCUGCCAGGAUAUUGAUUCUCUCUGAUGCCCCUGUGCCCACCGUCUGAGAGUCCACAGGCUCUGGGCUGGCUGAGGUGGUGGUGGGGUUGGGCAAGGGGAUCUACCCGAGAGAGGGAAAAGGCUUGUUUAAGGCUAAGCCUGUUAGGGCAACGGCAGGCCUCUGGCUUGGAUCUCCGACCACCUAUUUAGCACCUUGUGCUUCUUCCCCUGGAGCACGGGCAAGCCUGUCCGGGGUGGAGGCUAAGGGUGCUCCCCAAACCCUUGGGUGAUUGCAGGACCUGUAGAACCAAGGGAAGAAAUGCAUCCCCUACCUCUGUUACCCCCAGCCCACCCAUGUGAAAGCCCAGGGUAUACCAGCCUCCUCUCCCCCUGCCCAUCCCCCAAAGAGAUUUCUGCCAAUUAGCACAUACGCUAUUUACUUAAUUAGGGUAAUGACAUAAUUAGUGUAAGUUGGGCUCCAUCACAUGGCUUCAACAUGCAAUUAGGAGCCGUCAGCGGGAGGCGACAUUGUGGAAAAACUCAUUCAAUUUUGGUUCCAGCAUGGAGGCCAGAGCAGCUGCCUCUGCUUGGGAGGCAGGCAGGCAGCAGCCACUGUGUGUGUGGGGUGACUGUAGGCAGCCACAGAUAGCAUAGGACAGGAGAGUCAGCAGGGGUGGGGGUGGGGGGGGCAGAACGGCAGUUGCCAGGGUUGAGGGUGUCCCUGGCCAACCCUGCCUCUCCCAUCGCUUACAGAUGCUGUCACCCCCAGAACCCCAGGGCAGGGCAGGGGCUCUGGCUUGGCUGGGGUGACUGAGACUGGGAGCCUGAGCAAUCCAGGCCCCUUUGCCCCUAAGAUGCCACCCUUAGCAGGAUGUGUCUUCUCUCUUCAGGGCUUUGCUGCUCACAGGAGCCACCGUCUCAUAUCCACUGGCCUGGUGGCUGCUCAUGGUGGCCCUAUGAGGCCACAGACUGGAAGGACUGGAAUGACUACUAUUAUCCUCAUUGGACUAGUAGGGAAACUGAGGCUCAGAGCAAGUGAGGUGGUAGAGCCAAUCAUGGCAGCGCUGACCCUAAGAGGCAGUCCAGCAUGGCUGGAGACUUCUCAAACCCAGGCAGAUCACCCUCAGCCUCAGGGAGGUCUCCUUCUCCAUAGGCUCCUUUUUCUGAGAGGGGGCAGAGAAUCAUAGGGGUCCCCAGACUGCUGCUCCCUCAGCCUCCCCUCCCUUGCACAAGGCUGGGAGGCAGGGAGACCAUCCAUGGCUUUCCCUUCCCCUUAGUGAGCCUCCCAGCUUUCCUGGGCAGUGGGAGCAGGGAAGUGAGGGAAGAUAGGAGGCAGUGCCACCAUUGUGCCAGUAGGGAAACUGAGGCUCUGGGGCCACCAAGAGGAACCUAAAUCAGGCCUCAGCAAUCCUAUUCCCUGCCUGGCUCAGUCACCUGGGCUAUCCUCUCCCCCAGGCAUCAGUUUCCCUGUGUGAAAGGAGACAUGGUCUCACACAUCCUGGGACUGUCCAGAACCCCCCCAGGAAGGUGGGGCCCACCUUGACAUCUAUUUAACCUCCUUCUAAAUUAUGUCAUCAUAGCUGUCCCUCCCCUUUAUGUCCCACCUGGGCCCUGCCUAGUGGUCGGGGCCCCUGGGGAGACAGCUCUGACUGGCAAUUCUGCCUGUUCCAGGCUGGGCUUCCUGCCCUUCUGAACUGGGGAAUCCCUGGGCUCUGGGGGCCAUCUUAGACUCUCCCAAUCAGUGGUGCCCCAUCUUAUAGGUGAUACCCCCAGAUGGCUGGAUUCUGCUGUUAUCUGACCUCCUCCCUAGGUGUACAGCAGUGUGGUCAGAGUGGGGCUGACUUGUUUGCUAAUUGCUGACUAUGGACCAAACACCUUGGGCCUGGCUACUGGGGCAGGGAUGGGAAGGGAUGGGCAGACAGAGGUGAGGGUAACUACGUCCAGGGGAUUAUGACCUCAGAGUUCAGACAGACUCAGGCCUAAGGAGUGUCCUCCAAAGGGUAGGCAAAGAUAAGUGCCAGGAAGAGCCAAGACUAAGGGCCACACUGAGUAGAGAUCUGACCCUCUCCUUCUGGUCAGGAAGAGCAGCACCUGCCAGGCCUGGGGGAGGCAAGGCUUUCAGUCCACAGAAGAUGUACUUCAGGUACCAGUCAGAGACACAAGAACCAAGGUUCCCAUCCAGCCCCAGGAGCCCAGAGAUUCAAAUGAGCCAACCAUCUGGAAGCCCCCAGAAGGACCAAAGCAGGGGCCAGCUGGGAAGGACCCUGCUUUCAAUGCCUCCUUCAUAUCUGCCAGGUGAGCCAAGACCACCUCAGCUCACCCCAAGGCUGCAGAAGUAAGCCGAUUCCACAAAGUUGGCUUUUCUGAGCCAAGGUCCAAAUGGGCUGGAUGGUGUUGCCCUGGAAACCCUGGAGGCCAGCUGUCCAGGUGAUCCUCUGCCCUCCCCUACCAGGCCUGGUGUGGGAGGGGCUAGAGCCCACCCUUACAGGACUCCACCAUGGCUUAAAAUGCUCCUUCAGAGUGUCUGGGACUACUCACCUCUAACACCACGAGUUAGCUGUGUGUCCUCAAGUAAGCCGCUGACAUCUCUGGGCAUCGGCCUCCCCACUGGAGGCAGUUGGAGGAGUAAUUCCCUUCAGCCUCAGCUGAGGCAGGGCAGCCAGAAUGAUGGGGCUGGGGGGAGGGGCACUGUCCCUACACAUGUGGCCCAUGGCCCCUGCCUCACUCCCCUGUCCAGACUCUCAGUUCCUUGGGGCCCACUCAUGGCAGACGGGCAUCACUCCUGGGUAUCCCUUCUGCAGGGAGAGGAGGUGGCUGCUACUACCAAAGCCAUCCUCCAGGUCCCUCGCUCCUCCAUGCCAAGCACAUUAGGGGAUAAUUAAGUAAAAAUAGGCCUUCCGACCAGUGUAGCUCAUUAAGGCCUAAUUAAGUUAAUUAGUUCCAGGUGUGGAUGGCGAGGCUCAAGUGAGGCGACGGCUGUUUGCUGUAAUUGCAUUUUCGCCGCAGCAGCGGUGGCGGUGGUAACUGUGGUGGCAAAGGCGGUGGCUUCCUCUGAGGCCUGGAAGCCCGCCAGGGAGGUCGGGGAGGGGUCUGGAGCCAAGCAGGCCUGGACCACCCACAGAGAGCUGUAGAGCCAGAGGUUCCAGGUCAGCAGGGCCCAGGGAAACCUGCACUCUCUGCAGGGGUGGUGGGAGGCUGGGGGAGCCAGGGGAAGGGGGAGUACAAGGCCACCAACAGGCAUCCUCCCCGCUGGCUGAGAGUGGCGGGUGCAGGUGCAUCGUGGCUUGUCCUUUGGAUUCCCUCACACCCAUGGUGGUCCCCAGGAAGACUGGCAAAGGGCUUUGCUAAAGGGGAAUGUGUGACUCCGAGGCGGUGGUGAGACCUAUAGGAAUCCACCUAAAUCACCCCCUCCGUUUGGCUCGAGUCUCUAACUCCUGUUCCUUUCUGCUGCAGGUGUGUGGCUCUGAGACCCUCUCUUUGCGGUUCAAGGCAGGAGUGGGGCCACACAAGUCUGGGGUCUCUGCAGGGGACCUGCUGGCCUCAUCAGUCUCCUGCCCCAGACGUCUCCCCAAACCCACUUCCUGCCGCAGCUUCAGGACUCACCUGUGUAGGACAGCCCUCCCAGCCUUGGUUGAUGAGGGAGCAUGGGGCAAGCUGACGGCAAAUACAGGCUGACAGCAUGCUGCCCCCCACCCCGGCCCCCUCUACCGGGGGGAAUAUGUGUGAUAUUCCUUGGACACUCCUGGCUACCCAAGAACAAAGGAAAGGGGUUUAGGUAUUUGCCAUGGUGAUGUGGGAAACUAAGGCAAAUGAAAAAUUAAAUUCCCUUAUGCCUACAGCCCAUUGACAGGUCCUUGAAACCAGCAGAGUGACCUCCCUCUAGGAGCUCAGCUGCCUCAAGGAUGACACUUUGCUGGGGGCAAAAGAGAAUCUUAGCUUAACAUUAUCCCAACCUCGAGGAUCCUGUAAGUCUACUGUAUCUCAACUGCCCCAAUAUAUGCUGGCAAUCAUACUCCAAGCUUAUGGCCCCCAGUAUACAUCUGAAGGGUCUCAUGACUGAGGUUUUAUUAAACGGUAAUAAAUGGUGUUUCCCUAGCAACAGCUAGCCCCUCAAAGUCCCGGAAACCUUGCUUCCAAAAUUUCUUGGAGACUUACUCUAUCCCUGACUGACCCCCUCCCAACCUGAGGGUAUAAUGAUGAGUUACCCAUCAUGACCCCAGUGCAGCUCUCCCUGUCCUGUCCCCAUGCUUUAAUAAAAUUACCUUUUUGCACCAAGGGCGUUUUCAAGAA